ensembl:ncRNA F07G6.11 ncRNA
GGCGGAGGAUGGCUGAGUGGCUCAAGGCGCUGGUUUGAAGCAAUCCUCCGAAGGACGUGAUGAGUUCGAUUCCCACUCCCCCCGCCGUCUUCUGUAAUAUGCGACUGGUGGUCAAAUGAGAUUACCUUCACUGGAAACCCCUGGGGGUCACUGGUUCGACCCACUCCCCCGCCUCAGAAUGAGCGAGCCAAGCACUCCAUGAAUUACGACACUGGGAGGACCUCCACAACAUUGGUGAUGUAGCAGGUAGAAGAAUAAUAAUGGAUUGAACUGUUGUGAGAUUAAUGUAAAUGAAAAUGAAUAAAGAUUUAAAAAAUUUUUG